UCACUAUUUAAUUAAUUAUUUCAUGGUCCUUGUGUCGCAGUGGAUCAUGAAUUUAUUUUACCUGUCAACCUCGUCCGUCAAAGUCGGUGGGCGGAUCCUAACACCUGAUUGGUUACCCUGCACAUCAAGUCAAGGCAAAUCGAUUCCAGAUAAUGGAUUGAUGCAGAGCUUGUGAACACAUUCCGAUACACUGGGUGGCGCUAUUGACCUCUACGUUGGUUUGGAUACUCUAUUAAAUAAAACUUUAUUGGCAACCGCUAAAGACUCGGUCCUCUACCCCAAAUGUUGAUACAGCGCGGUGCAAGACGAAAGCCGCAAUUCCACAAGCAUCUACUCGGCGUGGUACGGUUCGCCACUAUUGUAUUUGACUUGGCUCGUCUCGGUUUAGUUGUUUUUCCAUAUAGCCUCAUCGUGGGUGGAGUCGUCAUAGCACGGCGAGCCGAAAGUCCCUUAACGUCAUUUGCGCGCGACACAAACAUAACGGAGGCGAUGGUUCACCUGCUGCUCAGUCUGUGGCUUUCUGUCAGAUUCAGAGUAAUAGAAGAGUCGGAGAAAGCUGAGAGCGACGAGUCGAAACACUGAGGAGACACACAGGAGAGUUUGGGAGGCGAUACAGCAGUAUCAAGCUGAAGACAAGAGGAUAUGAACGAGACGACAUAUGAGGAUGCUCUCUGAUGAGACUUCAUGGGAUUUACCUGAAGCAGCAGCACAUGAGCCUGCAGUGGCACAAGGUGUAGAGGAGGAGGGCAGAAAUGUACAGGAUGCACUGAUGCACUACGUGUCAUGCAAAAGUUAGAAGUUAUUCUUCUUGUUAUAAUUCUGUUUUUCUGUCCCCGGACCGCUAUUGUUUUCUUUAAUGCAAUUCUGUCAAUAAACUUUUGUACCUUUUGCAGA